AGAGUUUGAUCAUGGCUCAGGGUAAACGCUGGCGGCGUGCCUAAAACAUGCAAGUCGAACGGACUAUCGCAAGAUAGUCAGUGGCAGACGGCUGAGUAACGCGUGGGUGACGUACCUGUUGGUGGGGAAUAACUGCCCGAAAGGGUGGCUAAUUCCGCAUAAGUCCUUCGGAUCAGACUGAAGGGGAAAGCCGCAAGGCGCCGAUGGAGCGGCCCGCGUCCGAUUAGCUUGUUGGUGGGGUAACGGCCUACCAAGGCGACGAUCGGUAGCUGGUCUUAGAGGAUGAUCAGCCAGACUGGGACUGAGACACGGCCCAGACUCCUACGGGAGGCAGCAGUUAGGAAUUUUGGGCAAUGGGCGCAAGCCUGACCCAGCAACGCCGCGUGGGUGACGAAGGCCUUCGGGUUGUAAAGCCCUUUUCUGAGGGAAGAUGAUGACGGUACCUCAGGAAGAAGCACCGGCUAACUACGUGCCAGCAGCCGCGGUAAUACGUAGGGUGCGAGCGUUGCCCGGAUUUAUUGGGCGUAAAGGGCGCGUAGGCGGCCACGCACGUCCGUUGUGAAAUCGCUCGGCUCAACUGGGCGGGGUCAGCGGAUACGGUGUGGCUGGAGCAAGCUAGGGGGCAAUGGAAUUCCCGGUGUAGUGGUGGAAUGCGUAGAUAUCGGGAGGAACACCAGUGGCGAAGGCGGUUGCCUGGAGCUUUGCUGACGCUGAUGCGCGAAAGCGUGGGGAGCGAUCCGGAUUAGAUACCCUAGUAGUCC
rnacentral:rRNA from 1 species